rnacentral:rRNA from 1 species
AUUGAACGCUGGCGGCAGGCCUAACACAUGCAAGUCGAACGGUAACAGGAAGCAGCUUGCUGCUUCGCUGACGAGUGGCGGACGGGUGAGUAAUGUCUGGGAAACUGCCUGAUGGAGGGGGAUAACUACUGGAAACGGUAGCUAAUACCGCAUAACGUCGCAAGACCAAAGAGGGGGACCUUCGGGCCUCUUGCCAUCGGAUGUGCCCAGAUGGGAUUAGCUAGUAGGUGGGGUAACGGCUCACCUAGGCGACGAUCCCUAGCUGGUCUGAGAGGAUGACCAGCCACACUGGAACUGAGACACGGUCCAGACUCCUACGGGAGGCAGCAGUGGGGAAUAUUGCACAAUGGGCGCAAGCCUGAUGCAGCCAUGCCGCGUGUAUGAAGAAGGCCUUCGGGUUGUAAAGUACUUUCAGCGGGGAGGAAGGCGAUAAGGUUAAUAACCUUGUCGAUUGACGUACCCGCAGAAGAGCACCGGCUAACUCCGUGCCAGCAGCCGCGGUAAUACGGAGGGUGCAAGCGUUAAUCGGAAUUACUGGGCGUAAAGCGCACGCAGGCGGUCUGUCAAGUCGGAUGUGAAAUCCCCGGGCUCAACCUGGGAACUGCAUUCGAAACUGGCAGGCUAGAGUCUUGUAGAGGGGGGUAGAAUUCCAGGUGUANCGGUGAAAUGCGUANAGAUCUGGAGNAAUACCGGUGGCGAAGGCGGCCCCCUGGACAAANACUGACCCUCAGGUGCGAAAGCGUGGGGAGCAAACAGGAUUAAAUACCCUGGUAGUCCC